GCAGAACAGCAGGCUACAGAAGAAGAUGUGUUGUCAAGCAUGAUCCAGAAAGAUGAUAUAACAGGGAUGAAGAAAAAAAAUCAAAUUCCUCUGUCUUUUUGCUGUGAUCACCCAACUUCAGAACCUACUUCUACACCAAAAGGAUAUGAAGUUAAGCCUUGGAUGAAUAAUGAUGCCUAUUUGAAAUGGAAUUGUCUUUUUUUCUGACCACUUUCUAGAUGUGACCAUGUCUCUAUGUGAGUAAAAGCAAAAGAAUCUCCAUUACACAAUUGAAAC
rnacentral:lncRNA from 1 species